ensembl:lncRNA
CCACAGCCUGCUGCCUCCAUAUGGCCAGUAUAGGGACUGCAGGCAGGGUGCGCAGGGCACAGGGGGUCGUAACAAUCAGUGUGGCGGAAAACACAGGCACAUCUCAACAGUUAUAAAACACAGGCACAUCUCAACAGUUAUAAAACACAGGCACAUCUCAACAGUUAUAAAACACAGGCACAUCUCAACAGUUAUAAAACACAGUUAUAAAACACAGGCACAUCAUAACAGUUAUAAAACACAGACACAUCUCAACAGUUAUAAAACACAGACACAUCUCAACAGUUAUAAAGCACAGGCACAUCUCAACAGUUAUAAAACAGUUAUAAAACACAGUUAUAAAACACAGGCAUAUCUCAACAGUUAUAAAACACAGGCACAUCUCAACAGUUAUAAAACGCAGUUAUAAAACACAGGCACAUCAUAACAGUUAUAAAACACAGACACAUCUCAACAGUUACAAAACACAGGCACAUCUCAACAGUUAUAAAACACAGACACAUCUCAACAGUUAUAAAACAGACACAUCUCAACAGUUAUAAAACACAGUUAUAAAACACAGACACAUCUCAACAGUUAUAAAACACAGUUAUAAAACACAGACACAUCUCAACAGUUAUAAAACACAGGCACAUCUCAACAGUUAUAAAACACAGUUAUAAAACACAGGCACAUCUCAACAGUUAUAAAACACAGUUAUAAAACACAGGCACAUCUCAACAGUUAUAAAACACAGGCACAUCUCAACAGUUAUAAAACACAGGCACAUCUCAACAGUUAUAAAACACAGGCACAUUUAAACAGUUAUAAAACACAGUUAUAAAACACAGACACAUCUCAACAGUUAUCCUAAAGAUAUAAUGUGUGUCAUCACUGUAGGCCUAGGAUCAUUUCAGCUGUUCCUUCACUACAGAAACCACUGAGUUCCCCUUUAAUCUCAAACCACUGACACUACCUUUAAUCUCAAACCAUUGACUGUACCUUUAAUGUCUAACCCUCUGGUGCCCUCUAGUGGUCUAAUAUCGUCUGGUCCAGUUCCUGUGGAGCCCGAUGGCAUCUGGUCCAGUUCCUGCGGAGCCCGAUUACAUCUGGUCCAGUUCCUGCGGAGUCUGAUGUAUCACAGUCAGCAAAAACUGAGAUGGAAAGUAAAAUCAGAUAUAGGGGUUUCAUUUAGUUACUGGUACAUACUAUUUACCAAUAAUGUUGUCAUUCAUCUGAAAUGAAAGAGAUACUGUCCUUCCUUCAGAUUUGUAAUUUCAACCAGCCCCCUUUCUCACCAGUAGGUGGCAGUGCUGCUGAAUAUGUCAUCGGUCUAUGUGUUUUAGAUUAGAUUAGAUUAGAUUAGAUUAGAUUAGAUUCAACUUUAUUGUCAUUGCACAGAGUACAAGUACUGAGGCAACGAAAUGCAGUUUAGCAUCCAACCAGAAGUGCAAAAUAGCAAAAAGUGCAGAGUAUGUGCAUAUGUAAAGUGUAAUAAGUGAAUAAAUAGAUAUGUACAGUAAGAAAUAGAUAUGCAAUAUGAACAGUAAGAAAUAGAUAUGCAAUAUGAACAGUAAUUGGGACAAGAAUAGCAGCAAUUGAAGUUAGAAGUGUAGGUAUGAUAAGUAUAUGUAAAGUGCAGGUGUAAGUAUUAGUGGUGGUAAUAAGUGAAAUGAAGUGAAAGAGGUAUUAGUAAUAUUAUAUUAAGAGGUAUUGUAUGGUAUAAGUACGAUUAAUACAGUAAUAAGUGGUAAAAAAAACAUUCUGGUGCAAAUGUUCAGUGGCUGGAGGAGGGUGUGGCAGUCAAGCCAGGGUGGAGGGGGGAAGUACAGU